rnacentral:rRNA from 1 species
UACGGGGGGGGCAAGCGUUGUUCGGAAUUACUGGGCGUAAAGGGCUCGUAGGUGGCCAACUAAGUCAGACGUGAAAUCCCUCGGCUUAACCGGGGAACUGCGUCUGAUACUGGAUGGCUUGAGUGUGGGAGAGGGAUGCGGAAUUCCAGGUGUAGCGGUGAAAUGCGUAGAUAUCUGGAGGAACACCGGUGGCGAAGGCGGCAUCCUGGACCAAUUCUGACGCUGAGGAGCGAAAGCCAGGGGAGCAAACGGG